GCCUGGAUGACGAAAAUGGUAUACGUGCUGAACUCAAAAUUCAGUGAUUAUUAUCUUGUGGGUUCAAAUCCCACUCCAGGCA
rnacentral:tRNA from 5 species